GGAUUAGAUACCCUGGUAGUCCACGCCCUAAACGAUGUCAACUAGUUGUUGGGGAUUUACUUCCUUGGUAACGUAGCUAACGCGUGAAGUUGACCGCCUGGGGAGUACGGCCGCAAGGUUAAAACUCAAAGGAAUUGACGGGGACCCGCACAAGCGGUGGAUGAUGUGGAUUAAUUCGAUGCAACGCGAAAAACCUUACCUACCCUUGACAUGGCAGGAACUUUCCAGAGAUGGAUUGGUGCUCGAAAGAGAACCUGCACACAGGUGCUGCAUGGCUGUCGUCAGCUCGUGCUG
rnacentral:rRNA from 1 species